rnacentral:rRNA from 1 species
GACGAACGCUGGCGGCGUGCCUAAUACAUGCAAGUAGAACGCUGAAGGAAGGAGCUUGCUCUUUCCGGAUGAGUUGCGAACGGGUGAGUAACGCGUAGGUAACCUGCCUGGUAGCGGGGGAUAACUAUUGGAAACGAUAGCUAAUACCGCAUAACAGUAGAUAUCGCAUGAUAUUUGCUUGAAAGGUGCAAUUGCACCACUACCAGAUGGACCUGCGUUGUAUUAGCUAGUUGGUGAGGUAACGGCUCACCAAGGCAACGAUACAUAGCCGACCUGAGAGGGUGAUCGGCCACACUGGGACUGAGACACGGCCCAGACUCCUACGGGAGGCAGCAGUAGGGAAUCUUCGGCAAUGGACGGAAGUCUGACCGAGCAACGCCGCGUGAGUGAAGAAGGUUUUCGGAUCGUAAAGCUCUGUUGUAAGAGAAGAACGAGUGUGAGAGUGGAAAGUUCACACUGUGACGGUAUCUACCA